CGUCCGCACUCGUCGCUAUCCGCUCGCGUCCCCAUCCCCAUCCCCUCGCAUUUGUCGCCACCCCCGCCCCAACAUGCGCCGGCCGCCGCCGCCGCCGACCCACCUCGCAUCGACCGAUGCGGCCGACGGCGGCCGCGGCAGCUUGGCUGCCACGCCUCCACGCCGCCGUCUCCCCGUCCGCCACCUCGCAUUCUCCUGUGAAUUGAGCCAUCGGUCCUCUGCCGCGACGCUCUCCCUCGCCUCGUUAAUUACUCACGGAAGGUGUCUUCCCUAUCCACGUUGCUUCAGCAAGCACUCACUCUAUGUUCGAGGAAUUGAAGAAAUUUCAAGGAGAAUGAAGCCUAUGCGUGUGGGUGGUCGCUGUUAUUCAUGAAGCUGUGCGUGUGAGCUACUGCUUCCAGCCCCAUCCUCUGUGGAGGCUUGCUGCCACCAGUGAAAAUGGUUGUAGAAGGGAGAUAAUUGUGGCCAUGGAGGAGAGGUAAGUUUCACGUUUUUUUCUUCGUGAUAUGCAUGUUUAGGUGUUCAUUAUAGUUUUCAAAAAGGCGUUUUGGGGAUAGAUUUGGUGUGGCCAGGUGUUGCGCGGGAGAACCACCACAUCGGAGUCGAGCAACCGCCAUCUUCAAUCCCCAUCUCCGGCGAACUUUCCCGCUCAACCCCUGCCUCUAAUCAGCUACUCUCCUCCAUCCCCGUCCCGGUCAUGGAGCCGGAGCAGCAAUAUGCUAGCUGCACGUCGACUACCGGAUAGUUGUUCAUCGACUGCUAGACAGUUGGCCAGGAUAGAAAAAGUUGCAUAUCUCACAGCUAGUGGUAGUUAGAGCGGUGAAAAACCCACAUCCGACUACUAGGCGGUGGUUGAGGUCUGACUGACAGAUCCACAACUUUUUUCCUUUAUUUUUUCUACACAAAGAAACCUGGGAUAUGAUUUUUUACACAGUCGCACAAGAACCAGCUAGGUGUUGGCAUCCUGAACUUUUAUAGUUGCACAAGAAUCAAUUAGGAGUUGGUAUCCUCAACUUUUUAAAUAGUUGCACAACAAUAUCAUACGAGUCGGCAUCCUCGACUUUCAUAGUUGCACCAGAACCAUUUGGGAGUUGGCAGUCUUAACUUUUUAAAUAGUCCCACAACAAUAUCACGUGAGUUGGCAUUAUCAACUUUUUAAAUAGCCCCACAACAAUAUCACAUGAGUUGGUAUCCACAACUAUUUUAGUUGCACAAGAACCAAUCAGGAGUUGGCAUCCCCAACUUUUUUAAUAGUUGGACAACAAUGCCACAUGAGUUGGCAUCUUCAACUUCUUUAGUUGCACAAGAACCAUUCAAUAGUUGGCAUCCUCAUGUGUUCACAUGCAUAAGAGUUUCUAGGUUUGCAUAUGCACUUGAAUGUAGUUGCAUGAUACGUCUCCAACGUAUCUAUAAUUUUUGAUUGUUCCAUACUAUUAUAUUAUCCAUCUUGGAUGUUUUAUAUGCAUUUAUAUGCUAUUUUAUAUGAUUUUUGGGACUAACCUAUUAACCUAAAGCCCAGUGCCAGUGCCAGUUUAUGUUUUUCCUUGU